UCCUCCGUGGCGCAAUUGGCUAGCGCGUCCGACUGUUAAACCACUUGGUUCGGCGAUCGGGAGGUUCGUGGUUCGAGCCCACGCGGGGGAG